ensembl:lncRNA
GGCAGGAAGCACAUGCACAAGUAGUGAGGAUAUGUCCACAGAAGAGUAGGCUGAAUAAAUAAUUCACUUGCAAGGCCCAGACAAGGAAAGGAAGCCAAACGGUGCCCAAAACAAAGGACCGCGAGGUAAAAAAAACACAUGCGCAAACCUUCGUCGGCGAGCUCAAAUUAUGCAUGUGUUGAUGAGCAUGUGCACUUAGACUUAGGUGGGCCUGUGGGGGUGGUCUUAAGACGGAUGCAAACAGGCCCUGUGUUAAUUAACACUGGCAGGCCGCUGUUCCUCCUGGCAGUGUGCAGGCAGACAUUCUGGCCUGCCCUCAGUGACGCCUGGUCAAAAAUAGGGCACCACACAGCACAGUAAUGAUCACAAUGGUGACAUCAUCGUUGCCUUCAAUGUGCUCUCCCCUCAGUGCUCUUUUGAACAAAGAGCAGCAGGCAUGCAGAGAGCGAGGCAGAUGUCACUUUGUGUCUGGGGAACAUUAAGAACAACAAAUGUUCUUGGAGUUCUCGGUGAAACCUCUGCGUGUUUUUUGUGUUCGUGUGGGGUUAAAUUUGUAUUGUUGUUAUUUGUCUGGUUUUUUUGUUGUUGUUUUUUUAAAGAUUUUGGUAAAAGUCCCAAACUAAAUCAAUGACGUGUAAGGGUUUUUUUUUGUUGUUGUUUUGUUUGGCAUUGGCGUUUUUUUAGCAUAUGAUGUUGUGAAUGCGUGCGAAUUAAAAUAAAAGGCCUGUUCUCGCUAAUUGGUGAAGAGCAUGCUGAGAGAAGAGUGUCCACAAAUAGCAUACAAGUAUUUUUGAUGGUGCCCCCACAAAACAUGUGACCUAAAGUGCUAACACAUGUGGCCUUGCUUCCCCCCCCCUAUUGUUACUGAUCUGUUCAGACGUCUGGCAGUGUGUGUGUGUGUGUGUGUGUGUGUGUGUGUGUGUGUGUGUGUGUGUGUGUGUGUGUGUGUGUGUGUGAACUAGGCUUUUAAAGCACCUUAAAUGCAGCCUACCAUCACCUAAAACCAGGCAAACUCUGAUGAACUAAAUGCAGUUUGGCUGUUUUCCAAAUUGUCAUUAAAUUUGUCACAAUUCUUUAUGUGGUUUUUGUGUGUGGGAGGGGGGGGGGCAUUCUAAAUAAUUUCCCAGUUUUAGAAAAUAACUUCUUAAAAACUUUCUGAUUCCCCCUCUAGACAGCAAGAUAAGGGUGUGUGCUUAUCAGUUUGUUUGUGUCUGUGAAUCCAGCUUUUCAUUCAGGCUACAGGGGAAAAAAAUAAAAUAAACAACAACAACUCAGAAACCUUGGCCUGCAUGUUUCCUCCAAGAGGUUUCUCAGAAGGCAAGGACUCUUGCUCUUUGUGCUCUUGACGACACUGGGCUUGCAUUGUGCAGUCCUCCUAUAAA